rnacentral:rRNA from 1 species
GGUUAAGCGACUAAGCGUACACGGUGGAUGCCCUGGCAGUCAGAGGCGAUGAAGGACGUGCUAAUCUGCGAUAAGCGUCGGUGAGGUGAUAUGAACCGUUAUAACCGGCGAUUUCCGAAUGGGGAAACCCAGUGUGUUUCGACACACUAUCAUUAACUGAAUCCAUAGGUUAAUGAGGCGAACCGGGGGAACUGAAACAUCUAAGUACCCCGAGGAAAAGAAAUCAACCGAGAUUCCCCCAGUAGCGGCGAGCGAACGGGGAGGAGCCCAGAGCCUGAAUCAGUGUGUGUGUUAGUGGAAGCGUCUGGAAAGGCGUGCGAUACAGGGUGACAGCCCCGUACACAAAAAUGCACAUAUUGUGAGCUCGAUGAGUAGGGCGGGACACGUGGUAUCCUGUCUGAAUAUGGGGGGACCAUCCUCCAAGGCUAAAUACUCCUGACUGACCGAUAGUGAACCAGUACCGUGAGGGAAAGGCGAAAAGAACCCCGGCGAGGGGAGUGAAAAAGAACCUGAAACCGUGUACGUACAAGCAGUGGGAGCCUCUUAAUGGGGUGACUGCGUACCUUUUGUAUAAUGGGUCAGCGACUUAUAUUCUGUAGCAAGGUUAACCGAAUAGGGGAGCCGAAGGGAAACCGAGUCUUAACUGGGCGUUAAGUUGCAGGGUAUAGACCCGAAACCCGGUGAUCUAGCCAUGGGCAGGUUGAAGGUUGGGUAACACUAACUGGAGGACCGAACCGACUAAUGUUGAAAAAUUAGCGGAUGACUUGUGGCUGGGGGUGAAAGGCCAAUCAAACCGGGAGAUAGCUGGUUCUCCCCGAAAGCUAUUUAGGUAGCGCCUCGUGAAUUCAUCUCCGGGGGUAGAGCACUGUUUCGGCAAGGGGGUCAUCCCGACUUACCAACCCGAUGCAAACUGCGAAUACCGGAGAAUGUUAUCACGGGAGACACACGGCGGGUGCUAACGUCCGUCGUGAAGAGGGAAACAACCCAGACCGCCAGCUAAGGUCCCAAAGUCAUGGUUAAGUGGGAAACGAUGUGGGAAGGCCCAGACAGCCAGGAUGUUGGCUUAGAAGCAGCCAUCAUUUAAAGAAAGCGUAAUAGCUCACUGGUCGAGUCGGCCUGCGCGGAAGAUGUAACGGGGCUAAACCAUGCACCGAAGCUGCGGCAGCGACACUAUGUGUUGUUGGGUAGGGGAGCGUUCUGUAAGCCUGUGAAGGUGGCCUGUGAGGGUUGCUGGAGGUAUCAGAAGUGCGAAUGCUGACAUAAGUAACGAUAAAGCGGGUGAAAAGCCCGCUCGCCGGAAGACCAAGGGUUCCUGUCCAACGUUAAUCGGGGCAGGGUGAGUCGACCCCUAAGGCGAGGCCGAAAGGCGUAGUCGAUGGGAAACAGGUUAAUAUUCCUGUACUUGGUGUUACUGCGAAGGGGGGACGGAGAAGGCUAUGUUGGCCGGGCGACGGUUGUCCCGGUUUAAGCGUGUAGGCUGGUUUUCCAGGCAAAUCCGGAAAACCAAGGCUGAGGCGUGAUGACGAAGCACUACGGUGCUGAAGCGACAAAUGCCCUGCUUCCAGGAAAAGCCUCUAAGCAUCAGGUAACAUCAAAUCGUACCCCAAACCGACACAGGUGGUCAGGUAGAGAAUACCAAGGCGCUUGAGAGAACUCGGGUGAAGGAACUAGGCAAAAUGGUGCCGUAACUUCGGGAGAAGGCACGCUGAUAUGUAGGUGAAGCGACUUGCUCGUGGAGCUGAAAUCAGUCGAAGAUACCAGCUGGCUGCAACUGUUUAUUAAAAACACAGCACUGUGCAAACACGAAAGUGGACGUAUACGGUGUGACGCCUGCCCGGUGCCGGAAGGUUAAUUGAUGGGGUUAGCGGUAACGCGAAGCUCUUGAUCGAAGCCCCGGUAAACGGCGGCCGUAACUAUAACGGUCCUAAGGUAGCGAAAUUCCUUGUCGGGUAAGUUCCGACCUGCACGAAUGGCGUAAUGAUGGCCAGGCUGUCUCCACCCGAGACUCAGUGAAAUUGAACUCGCUGUGAAGAUGCAGUGUACCCGCGGCAAGACGGAAAGACCCCGUGAACCUUUACUAUAGCUUGACACUGAACAUUGAGCCUUGAUGUGUAGGAUAGGUGGGAGGCUUUGAAGUGUGGACGCCAGUCUGCAUGGAGCCGACCUUGAAAUACCACCCUUUAAUGUUUGAUGUUCUAACGUUGGCCCGUAAUCCGGGUUGCGGACAGUGUCUGGUGGGUAGUUUGACUGGGGCGGUCUCCUCCUAAAGAGUAACGGAGGAGCACGAAGGUUGGCUAAUCCUGGUCGGACAUCAGGAGGUUAGUGCAAUGGCAUAAGCCAGCUUGACUGCGAGCGUGACGGCGCGAGCAGGUGCGAAAGCAGGUCAUAGUGAUCCGGUGGUUCUGAAUGGAAGGGCCAUCGCUCAACGGAUAAAAGGUACUCCGGGGAUAACAGGCUGAUACCGCCCAAGAGUUCAUAUCGACGGCGGUGUUUGGCACCUCGAUGUCGGCUCAUCACAUCCUGGGGCUGAAGUAGGUCCCAAGGGUAUGGCUGUUCGCCAUUUAAAGUGGUACGCGAGCUGGGUUUAGAACGUCGUGAGACAGUUCGGUCCCUAUCUGCCGUGGGCGCUGGAGAACUGAGGGGGGCUGCUCCUAGUACGAGAGGACCGGAGUGGACGCAUCACUGGUGUUCGGGUUGUCAUGCCAAUGGCACUGCCCGGUAGCUAAAUGCGGAAGAGAUAAGUGCUGAAAGCAUCUAAGCACGAAACUUGCCCCGAGAUGAGUUCUCCCUGAGACUUAGAGUCUCCUGAAGGAACGUUGAAGACGACGACGUUGAUAGGCCGGGUGUGUAAGCGCAGCGAUGCGUUGAGCUAACCGGUACUAAUGAACCGUGAGGCUUAACCUUAC